rnacentral:rRNA from 1 species
UACGAGGGGCGCUAGCGUUGUUCGGAAUUACUGGGCGUAAAGGGCGUGUAGGCGGUACCGUAAGUCAGAUGUGAAAGCCCCAGGCUUAACCUGGGAGGUGCAUUUGAUACUGCGGAACUAGAGAUCGAGAGAGGAAAGUGGAAUUACGAGUGUAGAGGUGAAAUUCGUAGAUAUUCGUAAGAACACCAGUGGCGAAGGCGGCUUUCUGGCUCGAUACUGACGCUAAGGCGCGAAAGCGUGGGGAGCAAACAGG